rnacentral:rRNA from 1 species
UACGGAGGGGGGCUAGCGUUGUUCGGAAUUACUGGGCGUAAAGCGCGCGUAGGCGGACCUGCAAGUCGGGGGUGAAAGCCCGGGGCUCAACCUCGGAACUGCCUUCGAUACUGCGGGUCUCGAGUCCGGGAGAGGUGAGUGGAAUUCCUAGUGUAGAGGUGAAAUUCGUAGAUAUUAGGAAGAACACCAGUGGCGAAGGCGGCUUGCCAGAACGCGCUCGACGGUGAGGGAUGAAAGCUGGGGGGAGCAAACCGGG